rnacentral:rRNA from 1 species
UACGUAGGGGGCGAGCGUUGUCCGGAUUUAUUGGGCGUAAAGAGCUCGUAGGCGGCUUGCCAAGUCGGACGUGAAAUCCCUCAGCUCAACUGAGGACGUGCAUCCGAAACUGGCAGGCUAGAGUACUAAAGAGGAUCGCGGAAUUCCCGGUGUAGAGGUGAAAAUUCGUAGAGAUCGGCAGGAACACCAGUGGCGAAGGCGGCCACCUAGCCCGCACCUGACCGCUGAGGCGCGACAGCGUGGGG